rnacentral:rRNA from 1 species
GAUGAACGCUAGCUACAGGCUUAACACAUGCAAGUCGAGGGGAAACGGCAUUGAGUGCUUGCACUCUUUGGACGUCGACCGGCGCACGGGUGAGUAACGCGUAUCCAACCUUCCCAUUACUGUGGGAUAACCUGCCGAAAGGCAGACUAAUACCGCAUAGUCUUCGAUGACGGCAUCAGAUUUGAAGUAAAGAUUUAUCGGUAAUGGAUGGGGAUGCGUCUGAUUAGCUUGUUGGCGGGGUAACGGCCCACCAAGGCUACGAUCAGUAGGGGUUCUGAGAGGAAGGUCCCCCACAUUGGAACUGAGACACGGUCCAAACUCCUACGGGAGGCAGCAGUGAGGAAUAGUGGGCAAUGGACGGAAGUCUGAACCAGCCAAGUAGCGUGCAGGAUGACGGCCCUAUGGGUUGUAAACUGCUUUUGUAUGGGGAUAAAGUUAGGGACGGGUCCCUAUUUGCAGGUACCAGACGAAUAAGGACCGGCUAAUUCCGUG